AGUUUGAUCCUGGCUCAGAACGAACGCUGGCGGCAGGCCUAACACAUGCAAGUCGAGGGGUAACAGGGAGCUUGCUCUGCUGACGACCGGCGCACGGGUGCGUAACGCGUAUAGAAUCUACCUUGUACUGAGGAAUAGCCUUUGGAAACGAAGAUUAAUGCCUCAUAGUAUGUUAAGUUCGCAUGAACACUACAUUAAAGGUUACGGUAUAAGAUGACUAUGCGUUCUAUUAGCUAGAUGGUGUGGUAACGGCACACCAUGGCGACGAUAGAUAGGGGCCCUGAGAGGGGGAUCCCCCACACUGGUACUGAGACACGGACCAGACUCCUACGGGAGGCAGCAGUGAGGAAUAUUGGACAAUGGAGGCAACUCUGAUCCAGCCAUGCCGCGUGCAGGAAGACUGCCCUAUGGGUUGUAAACUGCUUUUAUACAGGAAGAAACACUCUCACGUGUGAGAGCUUGACGGUACUGUAAGAAUAAGGAUCGGCUAACUCCGUGCCAGCAGCCGCGGUAAUACGGAGGAUCCAAGCGUUAUCCGGAAUCAUUGGGUUUAAAGGGUCCGUAGGUGGAUAAUUAAGUCAGAGGUGAAAUCCUGCAGCUCAACUGUAGAAUUGCCUUUGAUACUGGUUGUCUUGAGUUAUUAUGAAGUAGUUAGAAUAUGUAGUGUAGCGGUGAAAUGCAUAGAUAUUACAUAGAAUACCAAUUGCGAAGGCAGAUUACUAAUAAUCAACUGACACUGAUGGACGAAAGCGUGGGGAGCGAACAGGAUUAGAUACCCUGGUAGUCCACACCGUAAACGAUGAAUGCCAGUCGUCGGGCAGUAUACUGUUCGGUGACACACCUAACGGAUUAAGCAUUCCGCCUGGGGAGUACGGUCGCAAGAUUAAAACUC
rnacentral:rRNA from 14 species